CUUGGUAAAUAUGAGAUGAAGUAACCUGUCCACAAUUUGGAGUUCUUGUCGUUAAAGUGUCAAAUGAAGUAAAAAUGUCCACUAAUACAUACUUGGCUACACCGCAACUGUAUUUAUGGAUAACAAUCAACUCAAGGAUGAAUGGUGUCACACGUGGAGCAGCAGGCAUACAUUAUCCUUCGGGAGAAUCUGUUUACUUCUGUUUUUUUGUUGGGUUCAAUUGUUAGAUUUCUACGAAGUGUUAAGUUAACUUUUUCAUCCUUUCGUCGUUUUUUGACAUGGCGUUGUCAGAUAUGAUUUUUGAAUUUCCCAUAGGUUCCCUACGUUUCUUUCCUUCAUUUGUGUAUUGACGUCGACAUUACUUGAUGCUUUCGGAUAUAGAUGGAUCGCAGCAGUUCUGACCUCCUACAUAAUCGACAUUACAAAUCAGAAAACGCUAAUGCAGGUGCUUAUGGAUUAUCUAUAUAUUUCCACAUGUGGGACUGGUUGUGCUACAUCUUCCGGAGCACAUGAGAACACCCCUAGUUGUAGGUGGGUGUAUGUUUCUUAGUCUGGGGUUUUUUAUGUUGCGUUUUUGUGAUCUGUUAUUUGUUUGUUUGUCUGUUUGUCUGUUUCUUUCUUUUUUGCCAUGGCGUUAUCAGUUUAUUUUCUACUAAAUUAAAUGUGUGUGAAUGUCUUUUUGGUGUCUUUUGUCUCUCUUUUUCAUGAUCAGAUACCAUUCAGACUACCUGCAACUUGCACGAUAUCUUACUCAACGAUUACUCCUAAUGAAUUUGUUGAUCUGUCACUUUCAUCUAAGAAAUUAGUUAAAUAGAAAUCGAAAUAAGACAAAUAAAGAUUAAUGAAUGAGUAAAUUUUCUGGAUAAUAAAGCACAGAAAACCAGAUACUAGUAAACAACAGCUAAAAUUC
rnacentral:lncRNA from 1 species